UUGACAUCUACAUGUGAGUUCCAUAUUAGCCUUUAGACUACUAUUGUAAAUGUUGCUUUUAGUUAUUGAAAAUGGCUUCCUUCCUACCAGGCAGACAGCAUUCAAGUUUUCCAAUUGUGAUUUUUUUGUGUGUGUGUACACAUAGGGUUUUGAACUGUUCUUAGAAGAUUAAGGAAUGGUUUUCCUUUGAAUACUCAGGGUGCAGACAGGAGGCUCUGAUGCUACUGGCUGGAAAUACUUUGAGAGAGAAAAAUGCUUCUUCGUGGAGCAUUUUUAAAAACACUCUAAAGUAAAUGAAUGUGUUAGAAUUGACAUGGUCCUCUAAUCCAAUCUUCUUCAGAAGUUUAUUUUGUUUAUAUGCUAUAAGUUGCACAGUUUAGUCAUUUAUCAGGUAGUUCUAGCUAGGAUUUCUGAAUCUCACGAAAGGCGUUCUCUUUUGUGAGAACAACGUCUUCACUGAUUAUCUGAAAUAUAAAAAGCCAAACUUGACUUGCAACAGAGAUGCAUAAGUUUUCAUUGUUAAUAUUUGUCUCUACAUUGCAUGCUGCAGAAGGUAGAAGACAUUUUUCUCUUGGAACUGUCAUGAUUACAAGUAUUUCUUUUAGGUCAUGGUCUGUAAGGGGUAGCUUCCAGUUUUGGCCAACAUUAUCUGGACAGAGAAGAUGUGUUAUCUUCUUUGAAUCUUUUUGUCCCAUCCUAGUGCUCCUUGUAUCUUUACACAGUGAAAUUCAGUUGCCUAAACAUGGAUAUGGGUUGCCAGCCCCAGAGCUGUAGGAGGCCUGCCUGGCCUGUGACUGGCACUGUAGCUGGGCACAGAUCUGUGGCAGCUGUUGUGUUAGAUAUGCCAGCUCCAGGCAGGGGGAUUGGGUCCUCAGCUGGCUUCCCUCUAGGAUAAAGAAAUAUUAAACAUUGUUCUCGGCUUCUUCUGAAGUCCACAAAGUUGAGCAUAAGAGUGCUAGGGAGGUUGUUGCCAAGACUGAGCUGGUAGAACGGUCGUGUCUGCCCUGCCUUGAGGUAGCCCUAGCAAGCUUUGCCUUUGCAGAGGUCAGCAAGCUAUGGCUGUGACUCCUGAAGGAGAAUUCUUUCCCACAUCCUUUCUCCCGCAGCAACAGGAAAGGGAAGUUCAAAUCUUGGCCCAGUCUCUCUGUUUUGGCCCUAUUUGCUUCCUCCUAUUCCCUGUACUUCCCAGUGCAGAAAUAACCACCCCCAGCCAUGGCCCACUGAACUAGGGGAAGCAAAGUUCAAUUUUAUUUAUGUGUCUGAGAGAGUUUGUCCUAGCUCUGAAAAUAUGGCAAUUAGCAAAUUAGCCUCAUGUGGCUAUUCUAUUUUGAGGGCCCGUGCGCAUGUGAUGCUAAUCUUGCGCCUGUCUGACAGCUUGGCCUUGGCUCACAGCCCUGCAUUGUCAUGUGCUGCAGAAUCAGAGAUUUGCAGGGAUUCUCAUCCUUAUGGCAUCUUGAUCUAAAAUGCUGGUCCCCAACUCUGGAAGACUAGUUUCACUCUGAUUUUGUACCUUUGGCCCUGCUCUAGUAGUAUCUGCUACAGACACAUUUCAAAUGUGAAGUUUAUUUGCUGAUAGGCAUAAUUUAGAACAUUGUUUCUUGAGUGGUAAAUGAAGAAACUGUAAAAAGUGUAAUAUAUGAGAAUAUGUGAGAAGAAAAAGUCCUCAGUUCAUGUCAUUUCUCUUUCUGUGUGACUCUUUUGCAGACAGCACAGGAUGGGUCAUCCCUGAGACCUACACCCACCCGUAUUCCUGUGUCAAAAGGUAUGAAAGCAGGAAAGCCAGUAGUGGCAGCCUCAGGAGCAGGAAAUGUGACAAAAUUCGAGCCUCGUGCCGAGACUCAGUCUAUGAAAAUAGAACUGAAGAAAUCUUCAGCCAGUGGCUCUGGCUCCCUGGGCGGGGGUCAGGGCUGAUGGCAGGUUCAGGGGAGAGUGUCAUCAUUCACCAGUUACGCAUGAGCUCUAGAUGAGUUACCACCCCAAUAUACUUUCUGUGUGCACUACCCUCCUUACCAGUUGGAUGGAUCACUGUAGAAGCCCUCUACCAUCAACACCAGGGUCACUUGUGCUACUGAUUAUUCAUGGGAGUAUUUACUGCUUCCAUUAGAUUUUAUGUAUUCUUCUUGGUAGAGCUUUAAGAACGGUAUUUUGAUACAGCCAGAGAGAGAGAAGCAGUCUUUCUGCCAGCUGAAUUUCACUUUUAUUUGCAAAGCCUGAGGCACGUGCUUGAUUUUGUUUGCUAUAUAAUUUAUUUUUUUAAUACACUUUGUAAAGUAACUGUCCCAAAGUUGCAAUUCCUGUUGUCCGUGGUGCAUUUGUUUGUAGAAUACACUGUUAAAUUUGCAAUUUGAUAUUUUUGUAGAGGAGAGAAUGUAAAGAAAGGAAAAAAUAAUUUCAACAGUAUUUUCUGUUUAAAUGGUAAAAUACUCGGCGCAAUUUUUUGCUACCAUAUGAUUCUGUGAGACUAAAUACUCUGAUGACUGCUGUAUGGAAUUUCUACUAUUGCAGAAUAUGUCUUGCACUGUGUGAUGGUUUGGCAUAAAAUUAAGUAUAAAGUCCAAUGCCUUGAAAUACAACUAGAUUUACUCAUUUUAGACAAUGUAAGCCAGUUGUUAAAGCUGUGAUUUUUUUCUAUAUAAUGUAUGUUUUUACUUAUGCCUGUACCAAAAAAAAGUUGAUUUUCAUUACACUGUAACUAAUAAAUUUUCACAACUAUGCAAAUGUAA